GGUAGCUUAGCUCAGUUGGUAGAGCAUCGGUGUGAAGUACCAAGUUAGCGGUGGUUCGAUCCCAUCAGUUACCA
rnacentral:tRNA from 4 species